rnacentral:misc_RNA from 1 species
AUUAUAGGUUUAUGUGAUGGAAGACUUGAUUUAUGCAGAAAGUACUUAAAUAACAUGCUGGUGAAGUAUCCAAAGGGGGCACUGUUUUUGUUUUUUGAUGGCAGAAUUAAGCAAGUAAAUGGGGAAAUUGAUGAGGCUAUUAAGAGCUUUGAUGACAGUAUUUCAGCUCAGGCUGAAUGGAAACAAUUUCAUUAUAUGUGUUUGUGGGAACAGCAGUGGUGUUAUUGCUAUAAAUGUGACUGGGCUAAUGCUGCUAAAUGUGCAGACAUCUUGAGGAAGGAAUGCCGUUGGUCUCCUGCUACCAGCUGUUAUCUGUAUGCUUCAUUUCUCUACAUGCAGGUACUAGAGGGACGAAAAGACAUGAUGGAUGAAAUAAUUUCUUUGUACAGACAAGUCCCAAACUUAAGGCAACGACUUGCUGGAAAAUCCAUUCCCAUUGAAAAGUUCUGUGUGAAGAAUGCAGAGAAGUUCCUUGGAAAUGGAAAUAAACUUGUACUUCCUAUUUUGGAGUUUGUCUAUAUGUGGCAUGGAUUCCCUGUCAUCUCUAAAGUCCCACCUUUACUUGAAGUUUAUCAUAAAAUGAUUGAAAAAAGCCUAACAGAUCUUCAUGAAACUAGUGGUGAAGUACAGGAAGUAGAUGAUUACUUGAUGCUAACUCUUUUACAAGGAAUGUGUUUAAAGUACCUAGACCGUAUUGAUCAAGCCGAACAGUGUUUUCGAGAAAUCAUUAACAGAGAGGGGGAGAUUAAAGAUAAAUUCCAUCUUCCACCAUAUGCUGCAGCUGAGUUAGCCUUCAUGAUGAUGGAGAAAGGGAAAAAAGAUGAUGCUUUGGAGUGGUUAAAAGCUGCUAAAUUCAAUUAUCAUGGUUACCUGACGGAAGUAGUUCUACAUUUUAGACUUUAUGCAGCCUACAAGAAAUUGAAUGGAAGCCAACAAGGAGAACCUGAAUCACCUACUAUUUGUAAACCAUUGCCGGGUGAGGCACCCUACUGCAUGUGACCCAAACAAAAUUAUAAAUAUUAAUUUUGCUGGAGGAGAGAAUCCUAUCAAGAAGAAUGUGGAAAAUAGUAUCUCAAAAUAGCCAACUUUUUUACCCUUUUUUAUUGCCUUUGCUUUAAAGUUCUUCCUGAAAAAGUUGUUAUUUCAAGAAAAAUGGGUCAUUUGUCAACAAGUUGGACAUCUAACUCUAAACAUGAUCAAUUAUGUGUGAGUCUGUGUG